rnacentral:rRNA from 1 species
UACGGAGGGUGCAAGCGUUGCUCGGAAUCACUGGGCGUAAAGCGACCGCAGGCGGCCUGACAAGUCGGAUGUGAAAGCCCUGGGCUCAACUCAGGAAUUGCAUUCGAAACUGGCAGGCUCGAGUACGGGAGAGGGGGGUGGAAUUCCUGGUGUAGGGGUGAAAUUCGUAGAGAUCAGCAGGAACACCAAGGGCGAAAGCAGCCCCCUGGGCCGCACCUGACACUGAGGGGCGAAAGCGUGGGGAGCGAACCGG